rnacentral:rRNA from 1 species
GAUCGCGUGUCGCCCUUUUCCGGUUGAUCCCGCCGGACCCGACUGCUAUCAGAAUAGGACUAAGCCAUGCGAGUCAACGUAAUAAAAUACGUGGCAUACGGCUCAGUAACACGUAGUCAACAUGCCCAGGGGACGUGGAUAACCUCGGGAAACUGAGGAUAAACCGCGAUAGGUCAUAAUGUCUGGAAUGAUUUAUGGCUGAAAUCUACAUGGCCUCUGGAUUGGACUGCGGCCGAUCAGGCUGUUGGUGAGGUAAUGGCCCACCAAACCUAAAACCGGUACGGGCUCUGAGAGGAGGAGCCCGGAGAUGGGCACUGAGACAAGGGCCCAGGCCCUAUGGGGCGCAGCAGGCGCGAAACCUCUGCAAUAGGCGAAAGCUUGACAGGGUUAUUCUGAGUGGUUUCCGCUAAGGAAAUCUUUUGGCACCUCUAAAAAUGGUGCAGAAUAAGGGGUGGGCAAGCCUGGUGUCAGCCGCCGCGGUAAUACCAGCACCCCGAGUGGUCGGGACGAUUAUUGGGCCUAAAGCAUCCGUAGCCGGUUCUACAAGUCUUCCGUUAAAUCCACCUGCUUAACAGUUGGGCUGCAGAGGAUACUAUAGAGCUAGGAGGCGGGAGAGGCAAGCGGUACUUAGUGGGUAGGGGUAAAAUCCGUUGAUCCACUGAAGACCACCAGUGGCGAAGGCGGCUUGCCAGAACGCGCUCGACGGUGAGGGAUGAAAGCUGGGGGAGCAAACCGGAUUAGAUACCCGGGUAGUCCCAGCUGUAAACGAUGCAGACUCGGUGAUGAAUAAGCUUCGUGCUUAUUCAGUGCCGCAGGGAAGCCGUUAAGUCUGCCGCCUGGGGAGUACGGUCGCAAGACUGAAACUUAAAGGAAUUGGCGGGGGAGCACCACAAGGGGUGAAGCCUGCGGUUCAAUUGGAGUCAACGCCGGGAAUCUUACCGGGGGCGACAGCAGAAUGAAGGUCAAGCUGAAGACUUUACCAGACAAGCUGAGAGGAGGUGCAUGGCCGUCGCCAGCUCGUGCCGUGAGGUGUCCUGUUAAGUCAGGUAACGAGCGAGAUCCCUGCCUCUAGUUGCUACCAUUGCUCUCAGGAGUAAUGGGGCUAAUUAGAGGGACUGCCGUCGCUGAGACGGAGGAAGGAGGGGGCUACGGCAGGUCAGUAUGCCCCGAAACCCUCGGGCCACACGCGGGCUGCAAUGGUAAGGACAAUAAGUUCCUAGUCCGAAAGGAGGAGGUAAUCUCUAAACCUUACCUCAGUUAUGAUUGAGGGCUGAAACUCGCCCUCAUGAAUAUGGAAUCCCUAGUAACCGCGUGUCACAAUCGCGCGGUGAAUACGUCCCUGCUCCUUGCACACACCGCCCGUCGCUUCAUCGAAGUUGGUUCUUGGCGAGGUGGUGUCUAAUUGGCACUAUCGAACCUGGGGUCAGCAACGAGGGAGAAGUCGUAACAAGGUAACCAAGGGCGACACGCGAUGCAGCGAGCCUA